rnacentral:rRNA from 1 species
UCUCCCGUUGGUGAACCAGCGGAGGGAUCAUUACC